CUGAAGGAUUUUAAUGGUACAGUAAUUUUUAGGGAGCCAGGGAUAUCGUCUGAGGACAUAGGCCUGUUCACGGACGCUUCAGGGAGCGUAGGUUUCGGGGCUUAUUUGUCGGGACAAUGUUGCACUGAAGAGUGGCCGGCAGAAUGGAAAGCGAGCUUGCUGAUCAGGAAUCUAGCGUUCCUGGAAUUGUUCCCGGUGGUAGUUGC